GACAGAGGGGGCAAGCGUUGCUCGGAAUCACUGGGCGUAAAGGGCGCGUAGGCGGGAUGGCAAGUCGGUCGUGAAAUCCUUCGGCUCAACCGAAGAACGUCGGCCGAUACUGCCGUUCUUGAGGGAUGCAGAGGAGAUUGGAAUUCCCGGUGUAGCGGUGAAAUGUGUAGAGAUCGGGAGGAACACCGGGUGGCGAAGGCGG
rnacentral:rRNA from 1 species